CACAGGUCGCCUUUUUGCCUUGCUUUGAAAGGCUUCUUCCCUGAAACAUUUCUCAUAUUCUUUUUACGCAUCUCCAUUUGCAGCACCAUGUCAUUUUUUCUUGGUUGAUGUUCUUUAUUGCUAUUCUGUUCAAGAGGAUUUCCAACUGCUAAUUGCUUUUUUUCCCAAAUUUUGCUUAGGAUCCUGGGGACAUUUUUCCUAAAUGGUUGCCAUGUUCUAGACUUCUAGUAGUUACUUAAUUCAGUUUUUCAUGAUUUGUACUGUUAAGGUCACAGAAAAUCUUAUUUUAAUGAUUUAUUCUAUGCGUUAUCUUGCAACUCUGUUUCUGAGGUAGCACCUGAUCUGUGUAAUUACUUUCACAAGUAAUAUAUAUAUAGUUUACAGCUUUGUAUUUUUUUUUUCUUGAAAUGGUUAUCUACUUUUGGGAUGUUAAGGGGACAGUCUGCCAGUGAAAAUUUGGAGUCUAGGAG
rnacentral:misc_RNA from 1 species